GAUAGGGUUGCAGCGCAGCGCACGGAAUGGGCAUGGGCUUCUUCCUCCCCACCACACCCCUCUCUCUCUCUAAAAUUCACCGGCUCACCGCUCCGUGGAGUUCACAGUGCAGUGGCGCAGUACCAGUGUACCACCACGAGAGUAGACUGGUUCAAGCAAGCCGCACCCCACUCCCUGCCCCAGCAGCAGCGGCCACUUCCCCUCUCCCGUCACCUCGCCAAUCCCUGCUCGCCCCCGUUUCUUUCUUUUGAGACGGAAGGAUGGAUAGAUAAGAUGGCCUAGUGAGAGAGAUCGAUACAGAUAGAUAGGAUAGCUAGCUCUCUCCGAAGGAGACAUUCCCCGCUUUAUUGAUGCCAUGUGGUUACUGCCACCCUCCUUAAUAACCAUCGCUAACCAGCCAUACCACCCUGUAGAUGUAUCCCUCCUCCGUUAAGCUCGGCUAAGAGAUCCCUCUUUCCCACUUGAGGCCAACACCCCCCUCCUAGCUCCACCACAAACCUAGCUACAACUAUAAGUUUCCCACUUAGAACAAGUCACAACACAGCACGCCCCAACAACCCCACCGCCCAAUAACACACCACAAGAGAGAAGAAUCUCAGGUCCUAAUCGCACAGGCGAGAACGCGAGCGAGCUAGCUCCGGCGAGGCCUGGCCGGAGCCGCCCAUGGAGUACAAGAGGUCAUCGCAUGUGGAGGAGGACGAGGAUGAGGAUUGGGCGAUGAGGGACCGUCGGUACCAGCAUCAGCAUCCGCACCAUCAUCGCCAUCACUACACCACGGUGCCGGCCACGGCCGCGCCCCCGCAGACAUGCACCUGCACGGCCAAGCUCCCCAGGUUCUUGACUCGCUUGCCGCGGCUGCCCCUUCGCCCUCCUCCUUGAUGGAAGCCGCCGCUUUCUCUAGGCCCCUCCUGCUACUGAAUCUGGUUUAUAUCCAUUAAAAAACAUGAAAUUAUUCUCUUGUGAAGACUAAACGGAAUUGCUGGCGUCGUUGCAGAAGAUAUCAAGAUAAUGCUGAUCUGGGGCGAUGAGGACAAGCUUUUCGACAUAGAGCUGGCCAAGAAGAUGAACGAGCAGCUGGGCGAGAACUGCUACCUGCAGGGCAUCCCCAAGGCCGGGCACCUGCUCCACCUGGAGCGCCCCUGCGCCUACAACCGCCAGCUCGGCAGGUUCCUCGCCUACGUCAACUCCCAGGAAAACCAAACCACCAGUUGAAUCAAUCACUACUACUACUACUAUCUCGUUCGUUCCAGUUCCAGAGGAGGAGGAUAAUUAUUUGCAAGCAAAGCGAAGCAGGUAGCCUGUCAACGUUCGUUCUUCUGCAACACGCACCGCAUUGCAUGAUUGCCUGGAGAGGUCAGCCCAUGGAUGUGAAGCUAGCCAUUACUACUACGUGCAACUAGCUGCUAGGUUUACAGGGCCACAUUCCGUCGAUGGGUUGACGCCACGCUCGGUGUGCCGUGAUGGCGUUUUAUUUCCUCCUGUUCCUGGUCACUGUUUGCUUCGAUGCUACUACAUGACUUUUGUGGA